UACAGAGGGUGCAAGCGUUAAUCGGAAUUACUGGGCGUAAAGCGCACGUUGGCGGUUUUUUAAGUCAGAUGUGAAAGCCCCGGGCUCAACCUGGGAAUUGCAUUUGAAACUGGGAAACUAGAGUGUGUGAGAGGGGGGUAGAAUUCCAAGUGUAGCGGUGAAAUGCGUAGAGAUUUGGAGGAAUACCAGUGGCGAAGGCGGCCCCCUGGCACAACACUGACGCUCAGGUGCGAAAGCGUGGGGAGCAAACAGG
rnacentral:rRNA from 1 species